rnacentral:rRNA from 1 species
GACGAACGCUGGCGGCGUGCUUAACACAUGCAAGUCGAACGGAAAGGCCCCUUUUGGGGUACUCGAGUGGCGAACGGGUGAGUAACACGUGAGUAACCUGCCCUUGACUUCGGGAUAACUUCAGGAAACUGGGGCUAAUACCGGAUAGGAAUCCUUGCUGCAUGGUGGGGGUUGGAAAGCUUCGGCGGUUUUGGAUGGACUCGCGGCUUAUCAGCUUGUUGGUGGGGUAGUGGCUUACCAAGGCUUUGACGGGUAGCCGGCCUGAGAGGGCGACCGGCCACAUUGGGACUGAGAUACGGCCCAGACUCCUACGGGAGGCAGCAGUGGGGAAUAUUGCACAAUGGGCGGAAGCCUGAUGCAGCAACGCCGCGUGCGGGAGGACGGCCUUCGGGUUGUAAACCGCUUUCAGCAGGGGCGAAGCUUGUGGUGACGGUACCUGCAGAAGAAGCACCGGCUAACUACGUG